GUCGGCGUCGUCUCCGUAGAGCCGUCGAGCGUGCCGGUCGUCUCCGAGCUGCCCGGGCGCACCAGCGCGUUUCUCGUCGCCCAGGUGCGGGCGCGGGUCGACGGCAUCGUAUUGCGCCGCGAGUUCACGGAAGGCUCGGACGUCAAGGCCGGCCAGCGUCUUUACAAGAUCGA
rnacentral:ncRNA from 1 species